GGAAGAAUGGAGCUUCCUAAAUCUUAGGAUCUACAAUUAUGCCACCGGAUCUAAAGGGAAAGGGGAAAAUGAAGGCACAAGUCGCUGUUUCUGUUUAUUCAGAUUCUUCGGAGGACACUGGCUUCACACAAGGAAGCACCCUGAGAAUCACAGUGAGCCAUGGUGUGGACGAAGACUCAGGGCCCAGGGCUCAGAGCUUUCAGUGUGUGGCCUGGGGAAAGCUGCAGCACUUCUCUGACCCUCAAUUUCUGGAUCCGUGAAAUGGACAUGAUAACACCUGCCCUGCUUACAUUACUGCGUUGCCAGAAGAACUGCUCCAAGUGAAGUUUGUGAACAGUGAAACUUCAUGUAUGUCAUGAGUACAAUAGGAUUGUGAUAUCAGUGUCACGCUCAAAAACACACUCUGGAAGAUCCCUCAGGUGCCUCAGAGACUGCUAAGGUGGGCAAGAGGAGUGACAGUGGCUUCAGGUCACCCGCCUCUCCUUCAAGCAAGGCAUCCUGGUGUACUGGCCUGGGAAUCUGUGAUCUAAGGAGUGAACUAGGGGAAGGGAUCUACCAUUUCAAAGAACAAUAGUUCACAAGUUUGAAAUGUUCAAAUGGAGUCCAGCACUCAAUUUAUCAAGAACUUGAGGCCAAGAGAGUUUAAAUGACAUUUCCCAGUUCCCGUAUGGAGUUUGUGACAGAGCUGGGACAUGGGCCCAUUCACGUGACCCCCACCCAUGCUCUUCUGACUGUGCUCCCUCCUUCAGAGGCAGGGCUCAGAUAAAUCAUACUUAUGACCUGAGAGCUUCUGUUGUUCUUUAUGAUUCACUGAUCAACCAUGAACGAAGAAACAAAUGCUGGAAUUUUGGUGACAGCAUAUUGGUGAUUCUCUCCAGGAGACUGCGGUCUCGCAAAGAAUCAGAGACCAAGGGAGGGCAGCUUCCUCAGAGAUUCUGUAGCCCAGCUCAUUCAUCUUUAUAGAUGACAAAAUUCAGCUCAGAAAGGAGCUUCACAUGCAGGUGCCGGACGCGCUCCGUCUGCACGGUGGGGUAGAAGGACGCGGACACCAAGAUUUUAAGCUGCGUCAGGAUGGAGGACAGCAGUCCCAGCACCACUAGUAUCACAAGAAUAAUGCUGAGAGGAACCCAGGUCUUAGACAGAAGGAGCUUUGGCUCGGGGAUGCAGUUCUGCAAGUCAGAAGUCUAAAAUGAGUCCAGAGAGCUAAUGUUCCUUCUGGAGGCUCCAGGGAAGAAUCCAUUUCUCACCCUUUCCAGCAACUGGAAGCUCUUGGACUCUCCUCCAUUUCAAAGCCAGCAAUGUUGCACCUUCUUUCCUCUCAGACCUCUGCUGCCAUCCUUAUAUCCUUUUGGGACUCGGAUUCUCUUGCCUCCCUUUAGAAGGAUCCCUGUGAUUAUAUUGGGCCCACCCAGAUGAACCUGGAUCAUCUCCCCAUCUCAAGGUCCUUAGCUUAAUCCCAUAUGUAGAGACCCUAUCACUAUGUAAAAUAACAUAUUAACAGGCUCUGGGCCUUAGGACAUGGACAGCUUGGGUGUGGGGGGACGUGAAUGAGCCCAUCUCACCAGAUUUGGCUCUAACCAAUAGCCAGCCAAUAGCCAAUCAACUGCCAAACACCUGAAGGGGGCCCUCCUAGACCAGCCAGUCACCAGGCAGCCCAUCAGCUGAGCACAGCUACUUGAGUAGUAAGAAAUGCUUAUUUAUCUUAAGUCA